rnacentral:lncRNA from 1 species
CUUUACCUUUUAUUUACAUUUUAAGCCUUGAGUCCACAUUGAGGACAAUGUGUGGAGUAAGUGUGGGGAGGGGAAUGUGACCAUCUUUGCUGAAAUUUUUAAUUUUACUGCCAUGUGUUGUUCUUAGUACUUGCUUAUGUUUAUGCUGCUGCCAUGUGCAUAUUUGGUAUGAAACUUGACCGGUUUUGACUGUUUUGUAAAAAUGCUCCUAGAGUUUUUAUUUACCACUUAUCCCAUGAAUAUUUUGAGUAAAAUUUUUUAUUUUUGAGCUGAAUUUG